CACGUUCAAGAAGUCUCAUUCAGCACACAUCGCGAUACUUGCUAUCAGUUCCACAGUUUGGGUCUAAAAUAUCAAGCUCAACAGCUCACUCAAGAGCCAACCCUCACAAACCUUCCUAAAAAACUAAAAGAGCUAUUUCUGAGUCUCAGCGAAUCUUGCCAUGAUCAGCUCUUCCCAGGUACAUUUGUUUAGAAUAUUUUUUUUUAAUCAACAUUUACUCCUCAAAUGCUCUGGUCUGAAUCUUACUUUAAAUUAACUUAAUUAUGUUUAAUGAGCAAUAUUAAUUGCACACAGAGUAAGUAGAGAUUAUCUUGUUUCACAGAAGAGAAGGAAGACCAAGGAAAUGAUUUGCUCAGGAUGAGGAAUGAAGAUGGCCAUCUUGUGCUCAAACAAACAGAAGUCCUCUGAUGAUCUCAUCAGCCAAAUGAGGGGUUUUGACCAAGUGAUGCUCUUGAAGGGAGUGAAAGAAGAGGAUGUGGUAAAUUGUCUUCAGAGAAAAAGCUUCUCAAAAGGUCUUAAAGCAGCUUGAAGAAUGGUCUGGGAUCUUAGGACUGAGAGAUCCUCUGGGCUGAGAACAAGCUACACCACAUCAGUGCUG
rnacentral:lncRNA from 1 species